rnacentral:rRNA from 1 species
GUGCCAGCAGCCGCGGUAAUACGUAGGGUGCGAGCGUUGUCCGGAAUUACUGGGCGUAAAGAGCUCGUAGGUGGUUUGUCGCGUUGUUCGUGAAAACUCACAGCUUAACUGUGGGCGUGCGGGCGAUACGGGCAGACUAGAGUACUGCAGGGGAGACUGGAAUUCCUGGUGUAGCGGUGGAAUGCGCAGAUAUCAGGAGGAACACCGGUGGCGAAGGCGGGUCUCUGGGCAGUAACUGACGCUGAGGAGCGAAAGCGUGGGGAGCGUACAGGAUUAGAUACCCUGGUAGUCCACGCCGUAAACGGUGGGUACUAGGUGUGGGUUCCUUCCUUGGGAUCCGUGCCGUAGCUAACGCAUUAAGUACCCCGCCUGGGGAGUACGGCCGCAAGGCUAAAACUCAAAGGAAUUGACGGGGGCCCGCACAAGCGGCGGAGCAUGUGGAUUAAUUCGAUGCAACGCGAAGAACCGUACCAUGGGUGUGACAUG